UGCAUACUCCCUCCGUCUCAUAAUUCUUGUCUUAGAUUUGUCUCUAUAUGAAUGUAUCUAGUCACGUUUUAGUAUUUUGAUACAUCCAUUUCUAGACAAAUUCAAGACAAGAAUUUUGAAACGGAGGGAGUAUGAU
rfam:Hordeum vulgare subsp. vulgare, WGS project CAJW01000000 data, contig: morex_contig_1575023